GGCCCUGUAGCUCAGCUGGAUAGAGCAACAGCCUUCUAAGCUGUGGGCCGAACGUUCGAAUCGUUUCAGGGUCACCA
rnacentral:tRNA from 1 species